rnacentral:lncRNA from 1 species
UAUGUUCUAUGUACUUCACUAUAUAACUCCUACAGCUGCCUUGUAGUUCUUGAUUUUGUUUUAACAGUUCCCAUCAUACUUUGGUAAGACAUCCACCUGCAUAGUCAUGAAUGGUGUUUUGAGAUUAAAGUUCAACAAGGCACCACAAAAGUAACUAAUUUUCCCAACUAUGACACUAGCGACUAAUGAGAUUGGUAAAUUGUUUCUUAUGAUCAUACAUGAUGCAUUAUUAUGAGUGAUGUUAAGUCGUGCUUCUAAACUAUUUUGUACUUUCACAACAUUAACUCAUAUCUUUAUUACUAAUUUCUUUAGAUGGCUUACUUCAAUUAUUGUAUAGUAAAUCUUAAUGUAUUAUUAAAACCUCAUUUUCCUCAACUGGAUCCAAAAAUUUAUCCCAUAAUGUUUGCUUAAUUAAACAACAGCAAUGUCACAUCAGUUUUGUGUCUUUCUGAUGCCAUUUUCACUUUCUUGACCAUAACAUCUGUAUUGUCACCAAGAAUUGCCAUUAGAGUUGCUGGUGGUGUUUUAGCCAUCAAUCUGAGCACUAUGGCAUACUGGUGUGAUUUGAUACGUACAAUAAUAGAAAAAAUAAACAAAGAAAUGAAAUGGAGGUAAAAAGUAUGAAGAAACAAUGGAACGUAGUGAAAAGAGAAAAAAGGUGUUUCUGUUCUUCUCACAGCUCCAUUUUCAAGCCGACUCCAGGAGACAGAUUCCCAAUUAAAUGAUCAAGAAAGCAGUUUUCAUUUGCUCAACCAUAUAUAACAUGUGGUAAUUUCUGAAAACUAUAUUCCGUACCCAAUGCUACCUGUCAC